CUGAUCAGCCAUGCCGCGUGUGUGAAGAAGGUCUUCGGAUUGUAAAGCACUUUAAGUUGGGAGGAAGGGCAGUAAAUUAAUACUUUGCUGUUUUGACGUUACCGACAGAAUAAGCACCGGCUAACUCUGUGCCAGCAGCCGCGGUAAUA
rnacentral:rRNA from 1 species